rnacentral:rRNA from 1 species
CAGCCGCCGCGGUAAUACGUAGGGGGCGAGCGUUGUCCGGAAUUACUGGGCGUAAAGGGCGUGUAGGCGGCCUGUUAAGUCAGGGGUGAAAGACCGGGGCUCAACCCCGGGGGUGCCUCUGAAACUGGCGGGCUUGAGUGCUCUAGAGGGCAGUGGAAUUCCCGGUGUAGCAGUGAAAUGCGUAGAGAUCGGGAGGAACACCAGUGGCGAAGGCGGCUGCCUGGGGAGUCACUGACGCUGAGGCGCGAAAGCUAGGGGAGCAAACAGGAUUAGAUGCCCUGGUAGUCCUAGCCGUAAACGAUGAGCGCUAUGUGUGAGGGGUAUCGACCCCCCUCGUGCAGUAGCUAACGCAUUAAGCGCUCCGCCUGGGGAGUACGGCCGCAAGGUUGAAACUUAAAGGAAUUGGCGGG